CAGCGGUGGCGACUGGAGGCGCCGGGCGCGGCCGAAGACGGGCCGGCGCGGGGCGGAUCCGCUCCGGCCAAUACCAGAGGCGAAGGGGCAAGGCGGCGGCCGCUCCAUCCUUCCCCACGUGCUGGUUGUGCUGAUUCCGGGCUGGAUAGGUCGGUGCUGGACCUCAAGGGCGUCUGCUCCACUGACAGCCUCUUUGUAGUAAAAAUGAAGCAGAGCAAGGGAAUCAUAAGGGAGGCAAUGGGGAUGGGAAGGUUUGAUGGAUAAUCACCAUUUCUUAACCAUAUUUGGACCUUCCAAGAAAAUUAUGGCAGAUUGAACCUCUCCAGAGCUCAUGCUUCUAUCAACCAGGGCGGGCACUUUUUGCGGUCCCAAGCCUG